CUACCAUCUCAGAACACAACACCUGCAACACAUGGACCUCACAGUCAGAGUGUCAAACAGUCACAGCCCUUAAGGCCAAACACAAUGCCAGACACACUAGUCAUUGGUGACUCCAUAGUCAGACACACUGACGUCCCGCUCACCAGACUGAGUA